rnacentral:rRNA from 1 species
GACAGAGGAGCCAAGCGUUGUCCGGAUUGACUGGGCGUAAAGCGCACGCAGGCGGAUGUGCGCGUGGGGUGUGAAAUCUGGCCGCUUAACGGCCAGGCGCCAUCCCAUACGGCGCGUCUGGAGUGAUGCAGAGGUCGAUGGAAUUGCCGGUGUAGUGGUGAAAUGCGUAGAGAUCGGCAGGAACACCCAGGGGGAAACCAGUCGACUGGGCAUCUACUGACGCUGAGGUGCGAGAGCGUGGGGAGCGAACCGG